GACCUGAGAGGGCAGUGGCGCACCAGUCUCCAUGAAGGUUGAGCUCCGAUGGCCAACAGCCAUUUCCACCUUGUGGUCUACAACUCUUCAUCCCGACUGCAUGGAGGUUGGUCUCUCUCUUCAGCUGGAUUUAGGCCACCAUCUGAGCCCCCGGGGUACGUUUUGUCUGACCCUGGCGCCAUUCGAACGGUUCUUCUACAGCAUCAGGCGUUCACCUGGCUCCUAGGGCUUUUGUGCUGUAGGCCUAUAUUUCCAGCUACUUUUGGAAAAAAUCUCUCUGGAGGCUCAAUGAGCUUGUCACAUCAGCCUGCCCAGAGUAUCAAGAAAGACUUAAUCAGCAGUGAAUACUCUCCACCAAGCCCUUGACCCAUUGUCAGUCUCUGGCAUCAGAUCCUUUCCAGUAGGGCAAAGUGCAACUGCAGCCAGCUCAUGCCUUCAAGAGAAGGACUGAAGAUCAUUGUGUGCCUAAACCAAUUCUCUUUCCUGCCACCAUGUGAAGAAGGACAUGUUUGCUUCCCCUUCUGCCAUGAAUGGACAGGGUCCUGCUGUGUUGCCCAGGCUGGCCUUGAACUCCUGGCUUCAAACAGUCUUCCCACUUGGGCUCCCAAAGUGCUGGGAUUAAAGGGGCGAGUUACAGCACCAGGACCUGAAAUGAAAAACAUGGCCAGCAAAGCAGGUGAGGCAAAGAUCAGGAAGGACAUUAAACGCCAAACUAAGGAGCGGAACUGAAUGAGCAGUGAAGGGGAACAAUGGCUUCAGCAGGUCCACUGGGCUCCUCUUUUCUGUCAGCCUCCCCCUACCCCUCACCUCUGUACUACUCAUGUUACUAUCUACGUCUCUUCACCAAUGUCAUUGUGGAAAUAAAAGCUUAUCUGUAAGAGUA
rnacentral:lncRNA from 1 species